AUUGAACGCUGGCGGCAGGCCUAACACUUGCAAGUCGAGCGGAUGAAGGGAGCUUGCUCCUUGAUUCAGCGGCGGACGGGUGAGUAAUGCCUAGGAAUCUGCCUAGUAGUGGGGGACAACGUUUCGAACGGAACGCUAAUACCGCAUACGUCCUACGGGAGAAAGUGGGGGCUCUUCGGACCUUACGCUAUUAGAUGAGCCUAGGUCGGAUUAGCUAGUUGGUAGGGUAAAGGCCUACCAAGGCGACGAUCCGUAACUGGUCUGAGAGGAUGAUCAGUCACACUGGAACUGAGACACGGUCCAGACUCCUACGGGAGGCAGCAGUGGGGAAUAUUGGACAAUGGGCGCAAGCCUGAUCCAGCCAUGCCGCGUGUGUGAAGAAGGCCUUCGGGUCGUAAAGCACUUUAAGUUGGGAGGAAGGGCUUACGGUUAAUACCUGUGAGUUUUGACGUUACCAACAGAAUAAGCACCGGCUAACUUCGUGCCAGCCGCCGCUGUAA
rnacentral:rRNA from 1 species